rnacentral:rRNA from 1 species
GGCGACCGCUUUGGGAGUUCGAUUAAGCCAUGCGAGUCGUGAGUCUUAGGGACUCGGCAUACUGCUCAGUAACACGUGGAUAACCUGCCCUAUCGUCUGGAAUAACCUCGGGAAACUGAGAAUAAGGCCGGAUAGUUCACAAUGCCUGGAACGGUUUGUGAAUCAAGGUAGGAUGGGUCUGCGGCGUAUCAGGUUGUAGGGGGUGUAAAGGACCCCCUAGCCUUCGACGCGUACGGGUGUUGGGAGACAUAGCCCGGAGAUGGAUUCUGAGACACGAAUCCAGACCCUACGGGGUGCAGCAGGCGCGAAAACUUCACACUGCAGGAAACUGUGAUGAGGGAACUCCUAGUGCAUGCACUAUGUGUAUGUAGAUCCUACUCUUAACAAGUAGAGGGAAAGGGCUGGGAAAGACCGGUGCCAGCCGCCGCGGUAAUACCGGCAGCUCAAGUGGUCGUCGCUUUUAUUGGGCCUAAAACGUCCGUAGCCUGUUUGGUAAAUCUGUGGGUAAAUCAAUCCGCUCAACGGAUUGAAUUCUGCAGAGACUGCCAGACUAGGGACCGGGAGAGGUGUGGGGUACUCGAGGGGUAGGGGUAAAAUCCUGUCAUCCUUCGAGGACCACCAGUUGCGAAGGCGCCACACUGGAACGGAUCCGACGGUCAGGGACGAAGUCUAAAGGCACGAACCGGAUUAGAUACCCGGGUAGUCCUAGGUGUAAACGCUGUGAACUUGGUGUCGGGGGUCCGCAAGGGGUCCCCGGUGCCGGAGUGAAGAUGUUAAGUUCACUGCCUGGGGAGUACGGUCGCAAGGCUGAAACUUAAAGGAAUUGGCGGGGGAGCACUGCAACGGGAGGAGCGUGCGGUUU